rnacentral:rRNA from 1 species
UUACUUCUCGGGGUUGUAGGACUGCGACGUGGGACUUUAAAAGGAUAGAAGAAUUACCUGGGAAGGUAAGCCAAAGAGAGUAAUAGCCUCGUAUUUAAAAUUCUUUUGAGCCCUAGCAGUAUCCUGAGUACGGCGAGACACGCGAAAUCUCGUCGGAAUCUGGGAGGACCAUCUCCCAACCCUAAAUACUCUCUAGUGACCGAUAGUGAACCAGUACCGUGAGGGAAAGGUGAAAAGCACCCCGGGAGGGGAGUGAAAUAGAACCUGAAACCGUGUGCCUACAACAAGUUCGAGCCCGUUAAUGGGUGAGAGCGUGCCUUUUGUAGAAUGAACCGGCGAGUUACGAUAUGAUGCGAGGUUAAGUUGAAGAGACGGAGCCGCAGGGAAACCGAGUCUUAAUAGGGCGACUUAGUAUCAUGUUGUAGACCCGAAACCAUGUGACCUACCCAUGAGCAGGUUGAAGGUGCGGUAAGACGCACUGGAGGACCGAACCAGGGCACGUUGAAAAGUGCUUGGAUGACUUGUGGGUAGCGGAGAAAUUCCAAACGAACUUGGAGAUAGCUGGUUCUCUCCGAAAUAGCUUUAGGGCUAGCGUCGAUGUUAAGUCUCUUGGAGGUAGAGCACUGUUUGGGUGAGGGGUCCAUCUCGGAUUACCAAUCUCAGAUAAACUCCGAAUGCCAACGAGAUAUAAUCGGCAGUCAGACUGCGAGUGCUAAGAUCCGUAGUCGAAAGGGAAACAGCCCAGACCACCAGCUAAGGUCCCAAAAUAUAUGUUAAGUGGAAAAGGAUGUGGGGUUGCACAGACAACUAGGAUGUUAGCUUAGAAGCAGCUAUUCAUUCAAAGAGUGCGUAAUAGCUCACUAGUCGAGUGACCCUGCGCCGAAAAUGUACCGGGGCUAAAACAUAUUACCGAAGCUGUGGAUGACACGUUAGUGUCAUGGUAGGAGAGCGUUCUAUGUGUGAAGAAGGUGUACCGUGAGGAGCGCUGGAACGCAUAGAAGUGAGAAUGCCGGUAUGAGUAGCGAAAGACAGGUGAGAAUCCUGUCCACCGUAAGACUAAGGUUUCCAGGGGAAGGCUCGUCCGCCCUGGGUUAGUCGGGACCUAAGGAGAGACCGAAAGGUGUAUCCGAUGGCCAACAGGUUGAUAUUCCUGUACUAGAGUAUAAAGUGAUGGAGGGACGCAGUAGGCUAACUAAAGCAGGCGAUUGGAAGAGCCUGUCUAAUCAGUGAGGUGUAAGAUGAGUCAAAUGCUUAUCUUUAUAACAUUGAGCUGUGAUGGGGAGCGAAGUUAAGUAGCGAAGUUAGUGAUGUCACACUGCCAAGAAAAGCUUCUAGCGUUUAAUUAUACUCUACCCGUACCGCAAACCGACACAGGUAGUCGAGGCGAGUAGCCUCAGGUGAUCGAGAGAACUCUCGUUAAGGAACUCGGCAAAAUGACCCCGUAACUUCGGGAGAAGGGGUGCUGACUUACGUCAGCCGCAGUGAAUAGGCCCAAGCAACUGUUUAUCAAAAACACAGCUCUCUGCUAAAUCGUAAGAUGAUGUAUAGGGGGUGACGCCUGCCCGGUGCU